GGGGAAUAUUGCACAAUGGGGGAAACCCUGAUGCAGCAACGCCGCGUGGAGGAAGAAGGUUUUCGGAUUGUAAACUCCUGUCUUUUGGGACGAUAAUGACGGUACCAAAGGAGGAAGCCACGGCUAACUACGUGCCAGCAGCCGCGGUAAUACGUAGGUGGCGAGCGUUGUCCGGAAUUACUGGGCGUAAAGGGCGCGUAGGCGGCCUGAUAAGUCAGAUGUGAAACCCCCAGGCUCAACUUGGGGCAUGCAUUUGAAACUGUCGGGCUCGAGUGUCGGAGAGGGAAGCGGAAUUCCUAGUGUAGCGGUGAAAUGCGUAGAUAUUAGGAGGAACACCAGUGGCGAAGGCGGCUUUCUGGACGAUAACUGACGCUGAGGCGCGAAAGCGUGGGGAGCAAAC
rnacentral:rRNA from 1 species